GCAGCGCGGGAGCAAUCCUGGCGGCGAGUGGCGAACGGGUGAGUAAUACAUCGGAACGUGCCCAAUCGUGGGGGAUAACGCAGCGAAAGCUGUGCUAAUACCGCAUACGAUCUACGGAUGAAAGCAGGGGAUCGCAAGACCUUGCGCGAAUGGAGCGGCCGAUGGCAGAUUAGGUAGUUGGUGAGGUAAAGGCUCACCAAGCCUUCGAUCUGUAGCUGGUCUGAGAGGACGACCAGCCACACUGGGACUGAGACACGGCCCAGACUCCUACGGGAGGCAGCAGUGGGGAAUUUUGGACAAUGGGCGAAAGCCUGAUCCAGCCAUGCCGCGUGCAGGAUGAAGGCCUUCGGGUUGUAAACUGCUUUUGUACGGAACGAAACGGCCUUUUCUAAUAAAGAGGGCUAAUGACGGUACCGUAAGAAUAAGCACCGGCUAACUACGUGCCAGCAGCCGCGGUAAUACGUAGGGUGCAAGCGUUAAUCGGAAUUACUGGGCGUAAAGCGUGCGCAGGCGGUUAUGUAAGACAGUUGUGAAAUCCCCGGGCUCAACCUGGGAACUGCAUCUGUGACUGCAUAGCUAGAGUACGGUAGAGGG
rnacentral:rRNA from 1 species